rnacentral:rRNA from 13 species
UAAAGGUUUGGUCCUGGCCUUUUUAUUAGUUGGUAGUAAAAUUAUACAUGCAAGUUUCAGCAACCCAGUGAGAAUACCCUUUAAAUCUGCUAGAUUAAUAGGAGUAGGUAUCAAGCACACCAUUAGGUAGCUAAUAACACCUUGCUUAGCCACACCCCCACGGGUUACAGCAGUAACAAAAAUUUAGCAAUUAACGAAAGUUAGACUAAGUUAUACUACUCUAGGGUUGGUAAAUUUCGUGCCAGCCACCGCGGUCAUACGAUUAACCCAAACUAAUAAAUACCGGCGUAAAGCGUGUUCAGGGGAAACAAAACAAUAAAGAUGAAAUAUUUCUACACUGUAAAAAGUUAUAGAAGUACUAAAAAUAUACUACGAAAGUGACUUUAUUACACCUUACAACACGAUAGCUAAGACACAAACUGGGAUUAGAUACCCCACUAUGCUUAGCCCUAAACUUUAAUAAUUUAAAACAAAAUUAUUCGCCAGAGAACUACUAGCAAUAGCCUAAAACUUAAAGGACUUGGCGGUGCUUUAUAUCCACCUAGAGGAGCCUGUUAUAUAAUCGAUAAACCCCGAUAAACCUCACCACUUCUUGCUAAUCCAGUCUAUAUACCGCCAUCUUCAGCAAACCCUUAAAAGGCAAAACAGUAAGCUUAAUAAUUUCCAUAAAAACGUUAGGUCAAGGUGUAGCCUAUGUAGUGGUAUUCAAUGGGCUACAUUUUCUGAUCCAGAACAUUCUUAACGGAUAUUUUUAUGAAAUUAAAAAUUAAAGGAGGAUUUAGUAGUAAACUAAGAAUAGAGAGCUUAGUUGAAUUAGGCCAUGAAGCACGUACACACCGCCCGUCACCCUCCUCAAGUAACUAUAUUCUAUUAAACAUAUUUUAUCCUAAUAAAUACAAGAGGAGAUAAGUCGUAACAAGGUAAGCAUACUGGAAAGUGUGCUUGGAAAACU